GGUUGGGAGAGAGACAAAUCAAUUGUCCACUUGACUACUUUCUUAAACUAAUAGACUAGUGGAAACGGCAUGACCCCAAGCACAAAAAUGCCCCAACGGAAGCACACCAAGUGGAAAAAAGCAUGCCAAGCAACUACAACUAGUAGUCAAGCAGCCAAAAGCAUGUCAAACGACCACACACACACACACUAAAGUCAACAAAUCCUAUCCUCUCUCUGUGAUGGUCCAAGUCAAUCCUCGGAUAGUGGGAACAAUAUUACCCCAGGCAAUAAAGAAGAGCUCAUGUCCCCUUGGGAUAAAUAUUUAAGGAAAAGACCAACCUGAUGACAGAACAUGUUGUGAAUGAUGAGGUGAUACAAAAGAUAGACACGUGUGUUGACAAAGGGACUGACUAGAUGAACCUCAUCUCUAGUAAGCCAAGAAUAUAGUUGAAGGGGGAUGGUGAAUGGAGAGCCUGCUUGGCCCACUCAACUCACUUAAGCAGCCCCUCUUACCAGUGGAGUCGACGUUCCGAGGGC
rnacentral:lncRNA from 1 species